AACUGAUGGAGAAACUGCCGUGGAUGGUGUGCAGGGUCAAAUACUCUUUUGGCUUUCGAUGUGUGUUUUCCGCUGGCGGCGGUUUGUGUCGAAGUGGUGACCUUAGUGGGUUGGACACAUAUGAAUCAGGAGCAUUUGGCCCAUGCACAGUAUCUACGCAAGUUCCUCGGUCUGGUU
rnacentral:pre_miRNA from 1 species